CUGUGUUUAAUUGCAGGGAUAUAAUAACUACAAAUUCUCCCUGGCCGAGACUUUUCUAAUAAAAGGUUUCUUCCAUCCCAGCUGCUUUCUCUUCCCUUUCACACCCCCACCCCCAUCACUGUCCUAGCACAAGGUCACUUAGGGUUUUAAAUGAGAGAGAGACACACACAUGUUCAGGUUUCGCGUAGAGUGUUUUUUUAAAGCUCCUCCUCCAGACCCAUCAUUAUGGAGAUCAGCUGCUUGCCCCCACCUCUGCACCACCUCCCCUAAGCUCCUUGCUGAGUUUAUACAGAACCCAAUUUUUCAGUCUCUUGGGUGUCUGCUUUUUCUCUGGUUCUGAAGAAAUAAGAGACGGGUAGAACAGGGAAGACCAACAAAAGAGGUUUAAAAGAAAAAAAAAAUCACCAAACCAUUCUUGAGAUAAAGCAAGACUUAUUAAACACAAUUGGAGGGAGGGCAGGAGAGGCGGUGUUAACCCCCACACGGCCCGUUUCCUGCAGCUGGAGAAGUGUUUUAAGAAAAUGCACCAUUGUUAAAACUUUCUUUUUCCUUGAUGGAUUUAUUUAUAAGGUAGAGAAAUAUUUUCCCCAUAAUUGGGUAACUCUUAAUAGUAGCAAUUGCAUAUUUAUCAGUGUGAGGGGCUGUUAUUAAUGUAACUGUCAGGCCCAAACACAUUUCUGCAUUAAAUCCAUUUAGUAUGUGCAUUAUUCGGGCUCGAAUGUCACCGGGACAUCAAAGCCCCGUAGGCAUGGAGAGCUCAGUGCCCUGCUGUGGCUGCCGAACAGGCCCUUGAUCAAUAAAUGUAACAUGUUAAUGCAGAGCAAAUAGAAUAAAAGAUUUCUUUGACAAGACAUGAAAAAUCACCUUGUGGCAGCUGGCAUGUGAUGCCGUUUCUGGGGAGACACUAGCAAAGUUGAUCUGACAAGUAAAGAGGAGAGAUGAUGGUUGUAAGGUGCUUUUGUUUCAAACUUCUUUCUUGACCUGUCAGGUUUUGAAGGCGCCUCAAUGGCUCUUUUUUGUCAUGUGAAAAUUGUAGUCUUAGGUAGUUAUGAAGCAGUUAUCUCUUCUCAAAUUGUGAAUGCUGCUGUUUAAUUGAUUCACUUAGCAUUUGAAACUGUCACGCAUUAAUAAUUGCGAAAUCCUGUAGAUACUGCGUGAGUGUGUCAUGCUUAAAUGUGUAGUUAUCAGAAAAUUAAUAUCCUUAAUGAACCGGUGCUUUCAAACUAACAUUGCAUGAAAUCUCUUUUGCCCUUUCAUUUGCUGAAGCCACAUCCGCCAGUUUGCCGAGAAUCACCUCUCGACAGUUUGCUUUCUUGAUGCCCGACAAAUGCCAGCUUUGCUGUGGGUACAUCGCGUGCUCAAUGACAAUAAAUAUAGUAAUUAUACUGGAGUUAGUAAUUAACAUAAUUGUAGUCAAUUACGACAAAUACAGUGCAGAGCUAAAUAAAUGAGAGGGGAGAAAUUAGCAAGCUAAUUGAUUUAUCUUUACUUGGCUUUCUAUUACAACUGGCAGGGCUGUUUUUCUUGGGGUAGGGGAAGUGGAGGGGAGAAAAAUUCCCCACAAGGAUUGUUUACAAAUAACUGAUUUUGUUUUGAAGUUGCUUUUGACUUACUACACUUCAUCCCCUACCCUGCUUCUAAGGGG
rnacentral:lncRNA from 1 species